AUCCUAGCGGCCAGUGGUGUCUAUAAAUAGGAAGAAUGAUCAACACCGAGUACCAUCCUCAUUAUUCUUUGGUCUUUCUUUCUUCUAAUUAGCAUACUUAUAAUGGGCGUUUCAAAGAAUUUGCAGGUCAUGGCUAUGGUGGUUUUCAUAACAAUCAGCUUGGUUCUUCCAGAGGUCGCUUCAUCAACUGCACUUGUCACUGAUGCAAUCCCAAAAACCAUUCUUGGAAGGAAGCUUCUUGAUGAUCCAUCGCUUCCUCCUACAUAUGAAGCCUGGCCAGGAACUGGAGGACGUCCAUGUUGCGGAACUCCCCCAUAAGGCGGUGGCGGCUGCAUGGGAUGCUGCUGCACUAGCUCCAUUAAUUAUGAUUGGAAAUUUAGAUCACCUAGAAUCACCGUAAUAUAUGAGAAAAGAAGGGUUUAUCUAAAAAAUGAUUAAUAAAAAAAAAGCCCUUAAUCUCUUUUCCUAUUAAGACACACUUAUUUACUUGGGUAUUAGUCCAUUGAUUUUUAGUGUACUAGCAAAGAAAAUAAAAUGCAGUCAUAAUUCAUUGUAAUCGAUGAUUCUGAUUAUAUAAUAAAUUUUAUCUUAA